GACGAACGCUGGCGGCGUGCUUAACACAUGCAAGUCGAACGGAAAGGCCCUGCUUUUGUGGGGUGCUCGAGUGGCGAACGGGUGAGUAACACGUGAGUAACCUGCCCUUGACUUUGGGAUAACUUCAGGAAACUGGGGCUAAUACCGGAUAGGAGCUCCUGCUGCAUGGUGGGGGUUGGAAAGUUUCGGCGGUUGGGGAUGGACUCGCGGCUUAUCAGCUUGUUGGUGGGGUAGUGGCUUACCAAGGCUUUGACGGGUAGCCGGCCUGGGAGGGUGACCGGCCACCUUGGGACUGCGAUACGGCCCAGACGCCUACGGGGGGCAGCAGUGGGGAGUAUUGCACAAUGGGCGGAAGCCUGAUGCGGAAACGCCGCGUGCGGGAUGACGGCCUUCGGGUUGUGAACCGCUUUCGCCUGUGACGAAGCGUGAGUGACGGUAAUGGGUAAAGAAGCACCGGCUAACUACGUG
rnacentral:rRNA from 1 species